rnacentral:rRNA from 1 species
AACGAACGCUGGCGGCAUGCCUAACACAUGCAAGUCGAACGAUGCUUUCGGGCAUAGUGGCGCACGGGUGCGUAACGCGUGGGAAUCUGCCCUUAGGUUCGGAAUAACAGUUAGAAAUGACUGCUAAUACCGGAUGAUGACGUUAAGUCCAAAGAUUUAUCGCCUGAGGAUGAGCCCGCGUAGGAUUAGCUAGUUGGUGUGGUAAGAGCGCACCAAGGCGACGAUCCUUAGCUGGUCUGAGAGGAUGAUCAGCCACACUGGGACUGAGACACGGCCCAGACUCCUACGGGAGGCAGCAGUGGGGAAUAUUGGACAAUGGGCGCAAGCCUGAUCCAGCAAUGCCGCGUGAGUGAUGAAGGCCUUAGGGUUGUAAAGCUCUUUUACCCGUGAUGAUAAUGACAGUAGCGGGAGAAUAAGCCCCGGCUAACUCCGUGCCAGCAGCCGCAGUAA